UACGUAGGGUGCAAGCGUUGUCCGGAAUUAUUGGGCGUAAAGAGCUCGUAGGCGGUCUGUUGCGUCGGCUGUGAAAACCCGGGGCUCAACUCCGGGCCUGCAGCCGAUACGGGCAGACUAGAGUUCGGCAGGGGGAGACUGGAAUUCCUGGUGUAGCGGUGAAAUGCGCAGAUAUCAGGAGGAACACCGGUGGCGAAGGCGGGUCUCUGGGGCCGAUACUGACGCUGAGGAGCGAAAAGCGUGGGGGAGCGAAACAGG
rnacentral:rRNA from 1 species